AGAGUUUGAUCCUGGCUCAGAUUGAACGCUGGCGGCAUGCCUUACACAUGCAAGUCGAACGGUAACGCGGGGGCAACCCUGGCGACGAGUGGCGAACGGGUGAGUAAUACAUCGGAACAUAUCCAGUAGCGGGGGAUAACCUAUCGAAAGAUGGACUAAUACCGCAUACGAUCUACGGAUGAAAGCAGGGGACCGCAAGGCCUUGCACUAUUGGAGUGGCAGAUGUCGGAUUAGCUAGUUGGUGAGGUAAAGGCUUACCAAGGCGACGAUCCGUAGCUGGUCUGAGAGGACGAUCAGCCACACUGGAACUGAGACACGGUCCAGACUCCUACGGGAGGCAGCAGUGGGGAAUUUUGGACAAUGGGCGCAAGCCUGAUCCAGCCAUGCCGCGUGAGUGAAGAAGGCCUUCGGGUUGUAAAGCUCUUUCGGUGAAGACGAAACGGUUAGCGCUAAUAACGCUGACUAAUGACGGUACACAGAAGAAGCACCGGCUAACUACGUGCCAGCAGCCGCGGUAAUACGUAGGGUGCAGGCGUUAAUCGGAAUUACUGGGCGUAAAGCGUGCGCAGGCGGUUUGCUAAGACAGGUGUGAAAUCCCCGAGCUUAACUUGGGAAUUGCGCUUGUAACUGGCAAGCUAGAGUGUGGCAGAGGGGGGUGGAAUUCCACGUGUAGCAGUGAAAUGCGUAGAUAUGUGGAGGAACACCGAUGGCGAAGGCAGCCCCCUGGGUUAACACUGACGCUCAUGCACGAAAGCGUGGGGAGCAAACAGGAUUAGAUACCCUGGUAGUCCACGCCCUAAACUAUGUCAACUAGUUGUCGGGGAAGAAAUUCCUUGGUAACGAAGCUAACGCGUGAAGUUGACCGCCUGGGGAGUACGGCCGCAAGGUUAAAACUCAAAGGAAUUGACGGGGACCCGCACAAGCGGUGGAUUAUGUGGAUUAAUUCGAUGCAACGCGAAAAACCUUACCUACCCUUGACAUGCUAGGAAGCCCGCAGAGAUGUGGGUGUGCCCGAAAGGGAACCUAGACACAGGUGCUGCAUGGCUGUCGUCAGCUCGUGUCGUGAGAUGUUGGGUUAAGUCCCGCAACGAGCGCAACCCUUGCCAUUAGUUGCUACAUUCAGUUGGGCACUCUAAUGGGACCGCCGGUGACAAACCGGAGGAAGGUGGGGAUGACGUCAAGUCCUCAUGGCCCUUAUGGGUAGGGCUUCACACGUAAUACAAUGGUCGGUACAGAGGGCUGCCAACCCGCAAGGGGGAGCUAAUCCCAGAAAGCCGAUCGUAGUCCGGAUUGUAGUCUGCAACUCGACUGCAUGAAGCCGGAAUCGCUAGUAAUCGCGGAUCAGCAUGUCGCGGUGGAUACGUUCCCGGGUCUUGUACACACCGCCCGUCACACCAUGGGAGUGGGUUCCACCAGAAGUAGUUAGCCUAACCGCAA
rnacentral:rRNA from 1 species